rnacentral:ncRNA from 1 species
GUGCCGUAGUAGGAGACAUAAAAAGGUGUUGUACGACUGUUUAAUUAAAACAAAGCACUCUGCAUAAGAUCAUAAAUCUAAGUAUUGAGUGUGACGUCUGCCCGAUGUUGGCUGGUUAACGGAGUUUCUUAGCUGAUGAAGUUAGGUUGUGAAGGAACCCCCAAUCAAUGGCGGCCUUACCGAUGAGGGUCCUAAGGUAGC